UACGAAGGGGGCUAGCGUUGCUCGGAAUCACUGGGCGUAAAGGGCGCGUAGGCGGGCCAGCAAGUCAGGGGUGAAAUCCCACGGCUCAACCGUGGAAGAGCCUUUGAUACUGCGGGCCUCGAGGGAGGUAGGGGCGUGCGGAACUUCCGGUGGAGCGGUGAAAUGCGUAGAUAUCGGAAGGAACAUCGGUGGCGAAAGCGGCGCGCUGGACCUCUUCUGACGCUGAGGCGCGAAAGCCAGGGGAGCAAACGGGG
rnacentral:rRNA from 1 species